rnacentral:rRNA from 1 species
CCUACGGGAGGCAGCAGUGAGGAAUAUUGGUCAAUGGGCUUACGCCUGAACCAGCCAAGUCGCGUGAGGGAAGACUGCCCUAUGGGUUGUAAACUUCUUUUAUAUGGGAAUAAAACAGGGUAUGCAUACCCUCUUGUAUGUACCAUAUGAAUAAGGAUCGGCUAACUCCGUGCCAGCAGCCGCGGUAAUACGGAGGAUCCGAGCGUUAUCCGGAUUUAUUGGGUUUAAAGGGAGCGUAGGUGGAUUGUUAAGUCAGUUGUGAAAGUUUGCGGCUCAACCGUAAAAUUGCAGUUGAAACUGGCAGUCUUGAGUACAGUAGAGGUGGGCGGAAUUCGUGGUGUAGCGGUGAAAUGCUUAGAUAUCACGAAGAACUCCGAUUGCGAAGGCAGCUCACUGGACUGCAACUGACACUGAUGCUCGAAAGUGUGGGUAUCAAACAGGAUUAGAUACCCGAGUAGUC